rnacentral:rRNA from 1 species
GGAAAACUCACCGGGUCCGGACAUAGUAAGGAUUGACAGAUUGAUGGCGCUUUCAUGAUUCUAUGGGUGGUGGUGCAUGGCCGUUCUUAGUUGGUGGAGUGAUUUGUCUGGUUAAUUCCGAUAACGAACGAGACUUUGACCUGCUAAAUAGACGGGUUGACAUUUUGUUGGCCCCUUAUGUCUUCUUAGAGGGACAAUCGACCGUCUAGGUGAUGGAGGCAAAAGGCAAUAA